GAUUAACGCUGGCGGCGUGCAUAACACAUGCAAGUCGAACGAUGAAACUUAAAUUAUUUCUUCGGAAUGAACUUAAGUGGAUUAGUGGCGGACGGGUGAGUAACGCGUGAGUAACCUGCCUUACACAAGGGGAUAGCCGUUGGAAACGAUGAAUAAUACCCUAUGAAACUAUCACUUCGAAUGAAGCGAUAGUCAAAGUGUUAGCGGUGUAAGAUGGACUUGCGUCUGAUUAGCUAGUUGGUGAGAAAAAAGCCCACCAAGGCAACGAUCAGUAGCCGGCUGGAGAGAGUGUACAGCCACAUUGAGACUGAGACACGGCCCAGACUCCUACGGGAGGCAGCAGUGGGGAAUUUUGCACAAUGGGGGAAACCCUGAUGCAGCGACGCCGCGUGAUUGAGAAGGCCUUCGGGUUGUAAAAAUCUUUUGUAUAGGAAGAAAAUGACAGUACUAUACGAAUAAGGUCCGGCUAAUUACGUG
rnacentral:rRNA from 1 species